GACGAACGCUGGCGGCGUGCUUAACACAUGCAAGUCGAACGGGAAGACCCUGCUUUUGUGGGGUGCGCGAGUGGCACACGGGAGAGUAUCACGUGAGUAACCUGCCCUUGACUUUGGGCUAACUUCAGUACACUGGGGCUAGUACCGCAUAGGAGCUCCUGCGGCAUGGGGGGGGUUGGAAAGUUUCGGCGGUGGGGGAUGGACUCGCGGCUUAUCAGCUUGUUGGUGGGGUAGUGUCUUACCAAGGCUUCGACGGGCAGCCGGCCUGGGCGGGUGACCGGCCACAUCGGGACUGAGAUACGGCCCAGACGCCUCCGGGAGGAAGCAGUAGGGAAGAAUGCACAAUGGGCGGAAGCAGGAUGCAGCAGCGCCGCGUGGGGGAGGAAGGCGUUCGGGUGGUAAACCGCUUUCGCCUGUGAAGAAGAGAGAGUGACGGUAACGGGUAAAGAAGCACCGGCUAACUACGUG
rnacentral:rRNA from 1 species